GGAAGCAUAGUUUAAUGGUAAAACAGCGGGCUUAUACCCCGUAGCUACAGAUAAUAGGCUGAUUCCGGUUCGACCCCGGAUGCUUCCACCA
rnacentral:tRNA from 1 species